rnacentral:rRNA from 1 species
UACGGAGGGUGCGAGCGUUGUCCGGAAUCACUGGGCGUAAAGGGCGCGUAGGCGGCCUGAUAAGUAGGGGGUGAAAUCCUGCGGCUUAACCGCAGGGCUGCCUUCUAAACUGUCAGGCUCGAGCACAGUAGAGGCAGGUGGAAUUCCCGGUGUAGCGGUGGAAUGCGUAGAGAUCGGGAAGAACAUCAGUGGCGAAGGCGGCCUGCUGGGCUGUUGCUGACGCUGAGGCGCGACAGCGGUGGGGAGCAAACGGG